rnacentral:tRNA from 1 species
GAAGGUUGUGGCUCAGUGGUAGAGUACUUGCCUAGCAUGUGUGAGGCACUGGGUUCAAUUCUCAACACUGCA